rnacentral:rRNA from 1 species
CAGUAGCCGCGGUAAAACGAAGGGGGCUAGCGUUGCUCGGAAUUACUGGGCGUAAAGGGCGCGUAGGCGGAUGAUUAAGUUGGGGGUGAAAGCCCGGGGCUCAACCUCGGAACUGCCUUCAAUACUGGUCAUCUUGAGUACGGGAGAGGUGUGUGGAACUCCGAGUGUAGAGGUGAAAUUCGUAGAUAUUCGGAAGAACACCAGUGGCGAAGGCGACACACUGGCCCGUUACUGACGCUGAGGCGCGAAAGCGUGGGGAGCAAACAGGAUUAGAUACCCCAGUAGUCCCUGUCUCUUAUAC